GGCGGAAUCAGGGGCGGCUCUGGCUGGAGUCAUCCGAGGGCGAGGGAGAGACCAAGGUGCCACCAGGCCCACACCCAAGAACGAUAUUGGCAACAAGAAGACCAAAAAAAAUGGUAAUGUUCUUGUGUACUCACCUAUUUCUUUCUAUUUUUGUAUCUGGCGCAAGAACUAGCAAUUUAUUCUACAAAUUUGAGGUAACAUCUUAACUUGCAUGAACUUUUAUGAAAUUGCAAUAUAU
rnacentral:lncRNA from 1 species